rnacentral:piRNA from 1 species
UAGCAAGUUCUGCACCAAUAUUAGUCGU